UGGGGAAUUUUGCACAAUGGGCGCAAGCCUGAUGCAGCGACGCCGCGUGAGGGAUGAAGGCCUUCGGGUUGUAAACCUUUUUCGCUCAUGGUCAAGCCGCAGCUUUGGGUUGUGGUGAGGGUAGUGGGUAAAGAAGCGCCGGCUAACUACGUGCCAGCAGCCGCGGUAAUACGUAGGGCGCGAGCGUUGUCCGGAAUUAUUGGGCGUAAAGGGUGCGUAGGUGGUCCUUCAAGUCGGUGGUUAAAGGCUACGGCUCAACCGUAGUAAGCCGCCGAAACUGGAGGACUUGAGUGCAGGAGAGGAAAGUGGAAUUCCCAGUGUAGCGGUGAAAUGCGUAGAUAUUGGGAGGAACACCAGUAGCGAAGGCGGCUUUCUGGACUGCAACUGACACUGAGGCACGAAAGCGUGGGUAGCAAACAGG
rnacentral:rRNA from 1 species